AGAGUUUGAUCAUGGCUCAGGACGAACGCUGGCGGCGUGCUUAACACAUGCAAGUCGAACGAAGAGCGAUGGAAGCUUGCUUCUAUCAAUCUUAGUGGCGAACGGGUGAGUAACGCGUAAUCAACCUGCCCUUCAGAGGGGGACAACAGUUGGAAACGACUGCUAAUACCGCAUACGAUCCAAUCUCGGCAUCGAGGAUGGAUGAAAGGUGGCCUCUAUUUAUAAGCUAUCACUGAAGGAGGGGAUUGCGUCUGAUUAGCUAGUUGGAGGGGUAACGGCCCACCAAGGCAAUGAUCAGUAGCCGGUCUGAGAGGAUGAACGGCCACAUUGGGACUGAGACACGGCCCAGACUCCUACGGGAGGCAGCAGUGGGGAAUCUUCCGCAAUGGACGAAAGUCUGACGGAGCAACGCCGCGUGAGUGAUGACGGCCUUCGGGUUGUAAAGCUCUGUUAAUCGGGACGAAAGGUCCUCUUGCGAAUAGUUAGAGGAAUUGACGGUACCGGAAUAGAAAGCCACGGCUAACUACGUGCCAGCAGCCGCGGUAAUACGUAGGUGGCAAGCGUUGUCCGGAAUUAUUGGGCGUAAAGCGCGCGCAGGCGGAUCAGUCAGUCUGUCUUAAAAGUUCGGGGCUUAACCCCGUGAUGGGAUGGAAACUGCUGAUCUAGAGUAUCGGAGAGGAAAGUGGAAUUCCUAGUGUAGCGGUGAAAUGCGUAGAUAUUAGGAAGAACACCAGUGGCGAAGGCGACUUUCUGGACGAAAACUGACGCUGAGGCGCGAAAGCCAGGGGAGCGAACGGGAUUAGAUACCCCGGUAGUCC
rnacentral:rRNA from 1 species